CAGUAGCCACGGUAAUACGUAGGGUGCAAGCGUUAAUCAGAAUUACUGGGCGUAAAGGGUGCGUAGGCGGGUCUUUAAGUCAGGGGUGAAGUCCUGGAGCUCAACUCCAGAACUGCCUUUGAUACUGAAGAUCUUGAGUUCGGGAGAGGUGAGUGGAACUGCGAGUGUAGAGGUGAAAUUCGUAGAUAUUCGCAAGAACACCAGUGGCGAAGGCGGCUCACUGGCCCGAUACUGACGCUGAGGCACGAAAGCGUGGGGAGCAAACAGGAUUAGAUACCCGAGUAGUCCCUGUCUCUUAUAC
rnacentral:rRNA from 1 species